rnacentral:rRNA from 1 species
GCGCAGCAGUCGCGAAAACUCCGCAAUACGCGAAAGCGCGACGGGGCCAUCCCGAGUGCCGUCCGCUGAGGAUGGCUUUUCCCUAGUGUAGAUAGCUGGGGGAAUAAGGAGAGGGCAAGUCUGGUGUCAGCCGCCGCGGUAAUACCAGCUCUCCGAGUGGUAGGGAUGAUUAUUGGGCUUAAAGCGUCCGUAGCCGGCUCAGCAAGUCCCCCGUUAAAUCCAACGAUUCAAUCGUUGGACUGCGGGAGAUACUGCUGGGCUAGGAGGCGGGAGAGGCCGACGGUAUUCCCGGGGUAGGGGUGAAAUCCUAUAAUCCCGGGAGGACCACCAGUGGCGAAGGCUGUCGGCUAGAACGCGCUCGACGGUGAGGGACGAAAGCUGGGGGAGCGAACCGGAUUAGAUACCCGCGUAGUCC